rnacentral:rRNA from 1 species
CGGACGGGUGAGUAACGCGUGAGAAUUUACCAAAAGGACUGGGACAACCACUGGAAACGGUGGCUAAUACCAGAUGAGCCGAAAAGUAAAAAGGGAAACCUGCCUUUUGAAGAGCUCGCGUCUGAUUAGCUAGUUGGUGAGGUAAGAGCUCACCAAGGCAUCGAUCAGUAGCUGGUCUGAGAGGAUGACCAGCCACACUGGGACUGAGACACGGCCCAGACUCCUACGGGAGGCAGCAGUGGGGAAUUUUCCGCAAUGGGCGAAAGCCUGACGGAGCAAUACCGCGUGAGGGAAGAAGGCUCUUGGGUCGUAAACCUCUUUUAUCAGGGAAGAAAAAAAUGACGGUACCUGAAGAAUCAGCCUCGGCUAACUCCGUGCCAGCAGCCGCGGUAAUACGGAGGAGGCAAGCGUUAUCCGGAAUUAUUGGGCGUAAAGCGUCCGCAGGUGGCUUAUCAAGUCUGCUGUCAAAGAGUGGGGCUUAACCCCAUUAAGGCAGUGGAAACUGAGAAGCUAGAGUGCCGUAGGGGUAGAGGGAAUUCCCGGUGUAGCGGUGAAAUGCGUAGAGAUCGGGAAGAACAUCGGUGGCGAAAGCGCUCUACUGGACGGCAACUGACACUCAGGGACGAAAGCUAGGGGAGCGAAUGGGAUUAGAUACCCCAGUAGUC